rnacentral:rRNA from 1 species
UAACGCGUGGAUAACCUGCCUCACACUGGGGGAUAACAGUUAGAAAUGACUGCUAAUACCGCAUAAGCGCACAGUACCGCAUGGUACGGUGUGAAAAACUCCGGUGGUGUGAGAUGGAUCCGCGUCUGAUUAGCCAGUUGGCGGGGUAACGGCCCACCAAAGCGACGAUCAGUAGCCGGUCUGAGAGGAUGAACGGCCACACUGGAACUGAGACACGGUCCAG